rnacentral:rRNA from 1 species
UAGGGAAUAUUGGGCAAUGGGCGAGAGCCUGACCCAGCCAUGCCGCGUGCCGGAUGAAGGCCUUCUGGGUUGUAAACGGCUUUUCUCAGGGAAGAAAAAGAGGAUGCGUCCUAAACUGACGGUACCUGAGGAAUAAGCACCGGCUAACUCCGUGCCAGCAGCCGCGGUAAUACGGAGGGUGCAAGCGUUGUCCGGAUUUAUUGGGUUUAAAGGGUGCGUAGGUGGCGUGUUAAGUCCGGGGUGAAAGCCCACAGCUCAACUGUGGAACUGCCCUGGAUACUGGCAGGCUUGAGAGUCGUCGAGGGUGGCGGAAUGGACGGUGUAGCGGUGAAAUGCAUAGAUACCGUCCAGAACCCCAAUUGCGUAGGCAGCUGCCUAGGCGACAUCUGACACUGAGGCACGAAAGCGUGGGGAGCGAACAGG